rnacentral:misc_RNA from 1 species
AACGCACAUUGCGCCCCCUGGUAUUCCGGGGGGCACACCUGUUCGAGCGCCAUUUCUACCCUGGAGCCCUGCUCUGUGAUGGGCCCCGUCCUCGCGGACGGGCCCGAAACCCGUGGGCGCCGUCGUGUCCGGCCCUGAGCGUAGCAAGAGAAAUCCCUCGCUCGGAGUGCCUGUCGGUCGGUCGCCCCGAACCCCCAUUUUUACAAGGUUGGCCUCGGAUCAGGUGGGGAUACCCGCUGAACUUAA